rnacentral:rRNA from 1 species
UACGGAGGGUGCAAGCGUUGUCCGGAUUUAUUGGGUUUAAAGGGUGCGUAGGUGGGUUUUCAAGUCUGGUUUGAAAGUUAGCUGCUCAACAGUUAGACGUGGCGGGAAACUGGGAUUCUGGAAUGGGGUGGCGGCGGCUGGAACGGGUGAUGUAGCGGUGAAAUGCAUAGAUAUGACGCAGAACACCGAUUGCGAAGGCAGGCAGCUACGCCGUGAUUGACACUGAGGCACGAGAGCAUGGGUAGCGAACAGG